UUGUAUAUUUUAGUCCUUUGCUGUAAACUUAUAAAGACUUGUGUUCAGUAAUAGGGCCAGCAUCUACUGAGGAAGUUAUUUUGCCAUAUUUCAUUCAGUUGUGUAAAGAUGAAGUCUGGGGAGUUAGAAAAGACCUUGAUGAUGUGAAGACUGGAGUACUGGCUCAUUUAUUGGAGUUCUUUGAGAUGUUACCCUCUGAUGUUAGAA